rnacentral:tRNA from 1 species
GGAAGCUAUGGCUCAGUGGUAGAGUCUCACCCUUGCAUACGGAAGGUCCUGGGUUCAAUCCCCAGCAUUUUCU